AUUGAACGCUGGCGGCAGGCCUAACACAUGCAAGUCGAGCGGUAGCACAGAGAGCUUGCUCUCGGGUGACGAGCGGCGGACGGGUGAGUAAUGUCUGGGAAACUGCCUGAUGGAGGGGGAUAACUACUGGAAACGGUAGCUAAUACCGCAUAAUGUCGCAAGACCAAAGAGGGGGACCUUCGGGCCUCUUGCCAUCAGAUGUGCCCAGAUGGGAUUAGCUAGUAGGUGGGGUAACGGCUCACCUAGGCGACGAUCCCUAGCUGGUCUGAGAGGAUGACCAGCCACACUGGAACUGAGACACGGUCCAGACUCCUACGGGAGGCAGCAGUGGGGAAUAUUGCACAAUGGGCGCAAGCCUGAUGCAGCCAUGCCGCGUGUAUGAAGAAGGCCUUCGGGUUGUAAAGUACUUUCAGCGGGGAGGAAGGGAGUAAGGUUAAUAACCUUAUUCAUUGACGUUACCCGCAGAAGAAGCACCGGCUAACUCCGUGCCAGCCGCCGCUGUAAGAC
rnacentral:rRNA from 1 species